CAAUUUGUUCAUUAUCUAAGAUGAAAAUCUCUUUCCAGACUUCGCUUAUUAGCUUCAUUAUGCUCACAAUCUUUCUACUAGGAGUAGUGGUGUCUGCUCAGAAAGGAGGACCAAGCACACAAAAAACUUGUGUUGAAGCAUAUCCAAACAAUACUGGAAAAUGUGAUGCUAAGCAAUGUACAGCCGAAUGUAUCAAAAAGAGGCCAAAAGGGAGGGGUAGGUGCAAAGAUAUAGGCAAAGGAGAUUGGCAAUGCAGAUGCUAUUAUCAGUGUCGUCGCUGAUAUUUGUUUAUCUAAAUUGAAGUUCAAAUCUAUUCUAUUAAAUAAGAAGUCACAACUUCUUUUCA